UGCUCGAAUACACAUCCAGUACAUCCAGUACACAUCAUAAUCAUAUGCCGUCAUCUGGCAUUUGCACGGUGCUGGGAUGUUGCGAUUUGUUUAAAGUUAUUAACUUAUAAAAACAGAGGAUCUGUUAAAUAAAUGUUUAAUAAUGGCAGCCUUAAACAAUAUUUUCAAAGCUAUCGAAGCUUUGAAACCCACGUUAGAGUCGAACUCUAUUUUGUCAAAUUCGAACGCAAGGAAAGAGAAAUUAGCAUGCUGCAUGACAAUAGCAGAAGUAAUAUGCUCGCCCACUGUCAAACUAGAAACUAAGUUCCCUCAACUUCUCAGUAUUUCAAUUGAAACAUUACUGGCAUUAUGCAAUGACGAUGAAUCCGAUGUUAGGAUGGUGGCAGAUGAAACGUUGAACAAGAUCAUAAGGGCAAUGGCUGAUAGUAACAUUGUUAAAAUCCAAAGAGAACUUUUUAACGAGAUAAAAAGAAAUGGGCCGGCUAGGACGUUGAGAGUCGCUCUCUGGACAUUUGGGCUUCUGAGCCAUACGAUAAGGCCCACGAGAGGAAGAGCAUAUGUAUCCAAUUUGAUACCUUGCAUCGUAACUAUUGUGAAACGACCCGAGGAAUCGGUAAUUGAAACUCUGUCGCAAUCGUUACCGUUAAUUAUAAAAGCACUCGGGCCCUUUAUGACGGACAACGAUGUUAAGACACUGUUAAAGGCAUUCUUUGAGAAUGUCUCUUCUGUACAAGCAGCAUUUCGUAGAGCUGCAGCUAAUAUGAUUUUAGCGACGUGUUUAAAUUGCAGAAAACCACAGGUUUUCUUAAAUUACGUGUUGAAACAUCUUUUAGAUAUUAUAACGCCUAUAAGUAUGGACGAAGGACACAUAGCGUCGAUCAUUGGCAUAUUCGGUUGUAUAAGAAUAAUUUUGCCACACGUCUGCGACUCUGAGAUCCUAGACGAUGACGCGCAACAGAUAGAUAGUUUAUUACAAAUUUAUGAGCUAUGUUUUCACUAUAGCAAAUGGCAUUUUGAUCAUAACGUUGUGAACGCUGUUUUGGAAACGCUGACUCAAUUUUUGAAGUCGCCUCCAAAACCUGUGAUGGCAUUAUUGUUAUCGAACCAAGGUAUAACUCGUAGUAGAAUAGUAUUAAAUCAGAAUGAGAUGACGUUGUCGUUGAGUCAAGCGAGUACGUCUAGUAUCGUCACUGCUUGCGGAGACAAUUCUGAGAGUACCUUAAAUCUAUUUGAUUCCGAGAUACCGGAAAUAAAUCCGAAGGUGGAGAAAUGGAUAUUAGAUUCCGAAACUGCAUCGCCUUUAGCGCAAAGUAUGACCACUGUUCAAACCUCGAAGGAAUCUUCGGACAAUAUCGAGGAAACGAAAGGAAAGGCUUUCGAGAAUUACAGUAAUCUGAACAUCGACAUCGUUGACAAUGAAACGAUAGAAGAGGGCAGCGAUGUUGGUAGCGAAGUGGAGAAAUCCGAGAAAUUUUAUUCGAGUUCACAUAACGAAACCAGAGAUACGACGGAUUGUUCCGAGGAGGUCGCAUCGUCCAUCGCUUCUCCUAAGAAACUUUCUUUGGACUUCUCAAUGCGGGAAAUAGACAUUGGAACUUUCACAGAUCCCGAUAUGUCUCUAAAAUUUUGUUGCCGUUACUUAGUAUCGUCCUUCCUGUUAACUGGCAACGCUGGUCACGUAAUGCCAGAUAGACAUUUCCGCGUUAGUGUAAAAUCUCUUGCUUUAACUUGCGUGGCUUACGUGUUCAAACUUUGUCCUAAUCUACUUUUAAUUCCUGUUGCCAAAGAAUCGAAUCUUAACGAAAACGAACAAAUGAUAACGGAUAUCUUGUUAUUCGCGAAUCAUCCAGAUCCGCAGAUCAGGGGUAACGUAUCAAUGAUCAUUGGCAUGUUUCUGAGAUCCGUAUACACGCAGUAUGGAGGAUCUUUUAAAAGAUUCGAGGCAGAAAUAACGAAUAAGAAAGUACGGGAAGUGAUAACGUUAGAUAAUUUGAUCAGACUACUAGUAAAGGGAUUAGAAGACGAUUCUGCAACGACGUGUCGACAAACGUUGGCAGCUUUUACUUUAUAUCUGCCAGAAUUGUUGGAAUCGGUCGACAGCAGAUAUGGAGUCACCGCAUUGACUGUGUUACCUCAGUUAGUUAAGAAUCCUUAUUUCCUAGUGAAGAUUAAAUUAGUCGAAUUGUUGAGCGAAUUAUCGUACGUUACCAUAGAAUAUAUAACUGGCGGAUCAAUGUUCCAAGAACACUUUAUCGAUGUUAUCAUAACGCUGUUAGGCGACCAAGACCAGCGUAUUAGGCACGCAGCGUCAGAUGCUAUUGUAAAGAGCAUUCCGUUGUUACAUUUCCAACAAUCCCAUGACGAUGUGAUCACGCGGAAAGCUGCUCAGUACACGGAACGGUUUCUGAGUGCUGUAGCGAAGAGUUCGGCAGAGUUGUCCUCUUGUCAGGAACGGCAGAAAUUGUUUAUAAAUACGUCUAUACAGCCGUUCGCUGCUCUGAAUUCCAAUAACGCAGUGAAUUAUCAUUCGAACGUUGAAUACUCCCUGUCGAUCGUGAUCAACAUGUUAGCGGAGAUCCUCGGAGUACAGUCAUCCAAGUAUUUAGUGUACGGCAGCUGCGAAGCUUUAUUCCGUUUAAGCGAUGUAUAUAGUACCACGGUGUACACCAGAGGAUGGGACUGUAUUUCGCCAAGGGUGUUAUUAAAAAAGUCUCACAAAAAAAGCAGCAACCGGUUAGAUAAUUCCGAUUCCAAUUUGACCAACGACGCGAUGCCAUCGUCCGUGAGCAACGCUCUUUUAUUGUUAGCUCUGCCGUUGCUAUCUUCGUCCCCUAUUAGUUUAGACCUCUCGACGCAUAAAUACUUGGUUCUGCUUGCUGGCAAUCUCGCAUCGGGUUUGGCCUUCUGUAAUUUCAAGCCCAACGACCCGACUAAAACUUGGUGUGGCACGUUUAAGGACAAACAAAUCGAACUGUUAUUGAUCCACGUUACAAGAGUAUUAAAUAUAUUUGUUCAUAUAAUCGACGAUGUGCAGAUAACGCAGACCAGUACAAGAUCGACGUUGUCCUCUUUGUCAACCUCGCAAACGUUGUCUCCUAAGAAAAAGAUCACGAUACCCGAGGGUAAAUUGAAAGAGAAGACGGAGAAGACGUUCGCCGGUUUGAAGUUUGGAAAAGAGCAAAUGGGCGCGUUCGUUUCGAUCCCGCAUUACGUGAAAAUGUACGAGAUCUUGAAAGCGGCUCAUUUGAAUUACUUGGUCACCCUCGAGCCAAACGCCAGCGAAAUGUACCUAUCUUUGUUGAAUGCGAUUCUGUACGUCCUCUCGCAAAUUCUCGAGAUUGUAUCAGUCAACGAAGCGGCUCAGAUCGCGGAGGAGACGUUGUAUUACUUACAAACCACGAUCGUCCUGUCGCCGACCGCGACCGUUCAGUGUGUUCAGCAACUACUCAAGUGUUUGUUCAGCACGAACGUGUACGCACAGUGGAACGAAAUGGCUGUGCAAAAGAAUUCGGAUGGGAUGUCUAUAUUAUGGGACGACGUCAAAGGUUUUUACAAUCACUGUUUUCAAAAUCCUAGUAGGCAAAUGGCGGAUACCAUUAAAUCGAUGGGGAAUAAUUGUAGAACCGAGAACGAACCGGAUACUGGGUGGGUGGGCUUAUUACGUAGAAAAGGCGACAGAAAAUUUUCCUCGAUAUUUAAGAACUUCGGACGAUCGACCUCCGCCGCUUCGUUCAUUCGUCUCUUCGAGCCGAUGGUCAUCAAAUCCUUGAAACAGUACACCGUAACAAGUAGCGUGUCAUUGCAGUGUCAAGUGCUGAUGCUGCUCAGCCAACUGGUGCAGUUGAGAGUCAACUACUGCUUACUCGACGCUGACGGGAUAUUCAUCGGAUUCGUGUUGAAACAAUUCGAGUUCAUCGAAGAAGGACACGUGCAACAAACCGAGGAUCUUCUAUCGAAGAUCUUUAAUUUCUUGGUGCACUUGACUUAUACCAAGAAUCAUUCGAAAGCUAUAAUAGGAAUUCCGAAGAUAAUCCAGCUUUGCGACGGGCUUUUGGCGAGUGGUCAACCAGCGCUCACGCAUUGCAUACCGGCUCUCGCUCCAGUGGUAGAAGACGUGUUCCUGAUUCGGAACGCUAGCUCGAAUCCAGUGGAGCAAAGGGAGCUCGAAACGACGAGGGAAGUUCUGAUUUCGAUGCUUCUACGGCUCGUGGAAUACCACCAAAUCAUCGAGCUACUAGCAUUGUGCUUGACGGAAUCCAGAUUCAGCGGCGACGGUAACGGCGAAGAGAAAUGGAGAAGAUGGUCCAGGCUGACGAUGGAUUCCGUUCUUCCAAUGUUGGCCGAAGGAAAGAUUCGAAUAGAAUCGGAGAAGGCGCACGUGGCUCUCGUUAAAUUGUUCACAGCCAUUUCUCCCACCGUCUUUAGACCAGUCGAUUCCCUCUUGAAAGUACUUCUCGUCACACCCGACUCUUUAGACGCCUCGAGCCUCAGAUUGAAACGGUGGUUGGGUAUGGUGAACGUUGUCAUGUUGUCUUUGAUCGCGUGCUCGAAAGAAGAGGCAAUGCUCGCACGGCUGUCUGACUUAAGCGCGAACAUGUGCGAACUGUCCCAGUCACUUUUUCUUACCAAAUCCUUUUCCUCCACGCCUCAAAGUACGGAUCCUCUUAACGUAUUGCACAGCCAAUGCAUCGAAGCGCCGCCCGAGAUGAUAUUAGCCAGAUUCGUGUUCAAAGUUAUCAGCUUGGCAGGAUCGAAAGUCUAUAAUAUCCUUGGACUGAUCGAUCACAGGCGCAGCGAUCCGUACACGAAAUUUUCCGAAUCUACGGAGACAGAUUUCUAUUUGAUCCAUCAGUUCGCGUUCUUUUUGCAGCUGUGCAUUCACAUGUUCGAGUCCGGCAGUCACUGCAAAGUCGCGAACGCUACGAUACAAAUGAUCCAAGGUCGCAACGUUCCCGAAGAAGAGAAAUUGCCUAUGGCCGAUUUGAAUUAUCUAAUGGUGAGCAUCGGGAACAAAUGCCCGACAUUGACAUGCCAGUGGGCUUAUCUGAUGACCUUGUUGGGAUACAACGAGAUGAGUUUCUGGUCGAAGGUACUGGGCACUCGUCGAUCGGAGUACGUCGUGCAUUGUCCUCCGAGCGAGGAGAGGAGCGUCGAUCACGCGAGCAGCAUCAACGUUCAAAUAAUCAGAAAAGGCGGAAUCAUAUUAUUCUGCGAUUACGUGUGCGAGAAUCUGAACGACGCGGAGCCCUUGACGUGGUUGCUGGUCAAUCACACGGAAGAGACGGUGAACAGCACUACCGAAUCUCCUGUUAGGGAACUGUUAACGGCAGCUAUACACAGAAACCCUGCGGCCAGCGGAUUAUUGGUACAAGCUAUCGCGACGAAGUGCAUAGACUUGUCGCAGCCCAGUUUCGUUAAGCGACUUUUGCAAUGCAUAGAAGGUGCGCAUCAUUCUCAAAGCGGAGCCGUUUUGGUAACGCUGAUACCAAGAUUGUUAUCUACCAAACAUCUCGCUUUAUCCAGGAUGGCGGCGAAGAUAGCUAGCAGGAGGGUGGAAAUUUUAUUGGCAACGACCGCGGCGGACGUCACGAAGCAAUUGUCGAAAGACGACUUCGGGAAGAUCAUGGAGAGCCUUCAGACCUGCAAGCUCGCGAAGAAGCACGGUGGUUUAGUCAGUCUGUUGAACAAACUAGGGGUACAGUGCUACGAUCUCUCUCCUUUGGAACUGGACCAGUGUAGACCGUUCAAUCCAGCCAGCGUGAAAAGCAUUCAGCUGGAUCGCAACUGGUUCCUCUCGCAAGUGAAAUUACGUUGUUGCAAUUCGAACGCCGGUUACAAUUCGUCGGAGGCGGCGCAAUUGUUGAGAAAUUUGGAUUCCGAUGAUUGCCUGAGUAUUCUGUCUUCCAAGGAAUUCAAUAUCGCGAUCUUGAAGGCUUGCAUAAUACAGGGCGUAAGGAUGACCAUCGAGAAGUGUCAGAAGUUAGACUUUGGUGUGACGCAGAACGAGAAGGAUUUUAAUUUUGAGACCAGUCCUUUGUACAGUGUCGCGAAGCAAUGUCUGCUCGAGCACGUACACUCCUUAACCGAUCUAAUACCGAAACCACAUCACGUUUAUGAUCCGACUCGAUCGAACAAUAACUCCAAGGAAUUGAAGUACGCGGCUCGAUUGGACGAACUUUUAAACGACUCUGUGUAUUGGGACGCGCUUUUCAUGUUGAUACCAGCCGUAACUGUAUACGUGAAAACGUUGCAGAAAUUAUCCAAGUACAAUUUAGCGAAGAUUGAUAAGAAAUCGGAAGAAGAGCUGGCGAAAUUCGCGACGCUGUGUCUGGAAUUGAUCCACUGGAUGAUACACCGUGACGAGAGUAAAAAAAGAAAUUUAAGACCGACGGACAUGGAGCUCGCGAUGAGAUGCGCAUCGGAGAUCUUGAAGCAUCCAGGACCGAGUAAAAUCUUUGGAGACAGCGCAAAGUAUUCGUGGGUCUGCAGCGCUGCUGCUUCGUUAUUGAAGAUUGUCGAGUAUUUAUUGACCACGAUCGACGCUUUGCCGGUCAUCGACACGCGUGCCUUGGAACCAGCGCUCGACGAUCAAGACACCAAAGACUUUGCUCAUGCUUGCACGCGGAUGGCUACGCUCGUCGCCUGGUUAGAGCGUUGCCAGGUCGAGCAGUCGGCGAAGAACAUUCCACGUUAUCUUUUCGACACGAUACAAGACUUGAUCGUCGGUAUCGGCCGUCAGCCGUUGGUGAACUCUUACGUUCUGAUUCCACCGUUGGCAUGGAAACAAAAUUGGCAUGUCGUCGGGUCCGGUCCGACCAAAUGUUACUUUCCCCUAUUGCCCACGGAGUCGAAUUUGCUCCAAGAGGUAGAAAUAUUGGAACAGUUCAUUUAUCGAAUAAACUUAUUAGGCUGGGUAUCUCGGCUGCAAUUCGAGGAGAUGUGGAUGGCUCUUCUAGGAGUAUUGAAUUUAUCGCAGAACGAGAACGUUCUCUCCGAAGAGAUACCCGCAUUGAUUCAAACAAGUAGCCUGGCCGUGCAGGCGAUAACCAGGCUAUUGCUGCAAACUUUGCUCCUUCCUUACCCGGGAAAUCCGAGGGCGAGCUUUCUGAUUCAUUGCCCGAGGGAUCCUCAGCUGUCGGUUCACAAGGUCAGCUCGCAAAAAUUAUACGCGGUGCAAGAUCUGCUCACGUGGAAGUACGAGUGCAUGAACGAGUCUAACGGGAACGGGUUGAACAUGGACCAUAUAUUUCAUCGGGGAAACGUGGAAAGGGUCGCGAACUCCGACAGAUACGCGUACAGUCAACUGUCCGUUUCGUAUCUGUGGUCCCUGUGCAAUUUGUACGAGGACAAGCUGAGCGCUUCCGUUCUCAACUUGAAGAAUCGAAGAAACGACGCGUUGAUGUCCGCUUCGCUCGAUCUGGAUUCCUGUCUCCGUUUCCUGGUAGAGCUAUACACGUCUUGGAUGUCUCCGCAGGCAAAGACGCCCGUGCAACUGCUCACGGAAGUCGUCAGGUCAAUUCUAGCGAUAUCGGAUCUGUUCGUCGAAAGAGCGCAGUAUCAAUGGAUGUUGGACGUGUGUUUGGAGAUAUCCAGGAUCCAUCCCACGGAAAACGUUAUCCUGCACCAAUACCUGGUGGUCUCUGUGUGCAAAGCCGCUGCGGUGUUAACGCCGCUGGAUCUCGAGACGUUGGACAAAGUGAAACGUUUAGUCGACGGAAAUCUGAAGUCAGGCUUUUUACCCGCGAGAGUAUCUGCUCUUCACGGGUCGUUGUACCUGUUACAAAGCGCUGUGCUCGCGAACUGCGAGGAGACGAUGAACAUUAUACACCCGCUGGCAAUCGAAUAUAUACAGAGGCAUCUCGACGCGCAAGAUUCGAGCGGCGUGUUGAAUCAAAGCGAGGGCCAUCAAGGCGUGAUGUGGGCCUUAGUGUUCUUCAUACUAGAACACGCGGAGGAUACACCGCCGGACACCGAAGCCCCGGCUGUGUUAGAGUUAGUCCUCACGUUGCUGUCGUCCCAAAAUAUUUCUUGCAGUUUGCACCAAACCCUCUUGCAGGGGCUCGAGCGACUCGUGGCAACGAAGAGCGUGAUCGGUAAGGUUGCCGAGCAGAUAGUAAAAGUCGCGACCGAUCGUUUGAAGCAACCCAGUCCUGUGUUAUCGCUGCCCGCGUUGCAACUGUUGUUAACAUGCAUGUACACGGAGGCGGCCGAUAGAUUGAACCGACCGGAGAUAGAGGAACCGUUGCCGGACGCGGAACCGGAAGCGUUGAUUCGAUCCAUAGAGAGUACUUCGGCGAUCUUCGACAAGAUCAGGCGGGGACAUUCCAUGGAGGUGGAGCUGCUCUGUACGGUUCUGUCCAACGUUCUCGCGGAUUUCUUUCCCCCGUCCGAGAUCCUGACCAAGGUCAUAGGCGAGUUUUUGUCGCCGCAGCAACCUCACCCACGAUUGCUGUCCGCCGUUGUCUUUAAAGUUUGCGAACGAGCGUGCACUUGCGCGCAAAUGGAACUUCUUCAAGACUGGGUGGUAUUCAGUUUACCGAACUUCAUUCAAAGCCUGCCAGUCACAAUGUCGACAUGGUGCUUAUCGUGUUUUUUCAUUAGCGCGUCCACGAACGAGUGGCUGCGAGCUUUAUUCCCGUACGUCCAAUCGAGGAUUGGAAAGUACGAAUACGAGGACAAGAAGAUUCUGUGCAUCGCUGCUUCUGACUUUUAUCACAAGUUACCCAAGGAAACGCAGAGAAGAGCUUUCGCGGAGACUUUCGAAACGGCGGCGAAGGAUCCCGGGGCUCCGUUCAGCGACAUUUUAGCGUCUUUCUAAUCCCAGGCUAGCCUUAUCGUUGAUCGAUAACGUUCCCGUGAAUCAAACAAAGACUCGAACGCUUACGGAUACCUACACAGAAAACUGGACAAGUCGUACGACAGCUCCCGGGAGUAAAUCACGGUCGGGAGUUUGAUCUCCAAAGUCAUAACUGACGAGCUAAUCGGUGCAUCGUCCCUAGAAUUCAUGAGAAAGAUUUCACGUAUAAUAUGGGACAAUCCUUAAUUUGAAUACCGAACAGUCGCAGGAUUCGGGUGCGAAGCCGUAAAGGAAAAGUUUGUGUUUGAUCCGACCGAUACAACGAAGUUGCGCCGAGCCGCACGUCAUCU